CAGCAGCCGCGGUAAUACGGAGGGUGCAAGCGUUAAUCGGAAUUACUGGGCGUAAAGCGCACGCAGGCGGUCUGUCAAGUCAGAUGUGAAAUCCCCGGGCUUAACCUGGGAACUGCAUUUGAAACUGGCAGACUGGAGUCUUGUAGAGGGGGGUAGAAUUCCAGGUGUAGCGGUGAAAUGCGUAGAGAUCUGGAGGAAUACCGGUGGCGAAGGCGGCCCCCUGGACAAAGACUGACGCUCAGGUGCGAAAGCGUGGGGAGCAAACAGGAUUAGAUACCCCUGUAGUCCCUGUCUCUUAUAC
rnacentral:rRNA from 1 species